rnacentral:rRNA from 1 species
GACGAACGCUGGCGGCGUGCUUAACACAUGCAAGUCGAACGGAAAGGCCCUGCUUUUGUGGGGUGCUCGAGUGGCGAACGGGUGAGUAACACGUGAGUAACCUGCCCUUGACUUUGGGAUAACUUCAGGAAACUGGGGCUAAUACCGGAUAGGAGCUCCUGCUGCAUGGUGGGGGUUGGAAAGUUUCGGCGGUUGGGGAUGGACUCGCGGCUUAUCAGCUUGUUGGUGGGGUAGUGGCUUACCAAGGCUUUGACGGGUAGCCGGCCUGAGAGGGUGACCGGCCACAUUGGGACUGAGAUACGGCCCAGACUCCUACGGGAGGCAGCAGUGGGGAAUAUUGCACAAUGGGCGGAAGCCUGAUGCAGCAACGCCGCGUGCGGGAUGACGGCCUUCGGGUUGUAAACCGCUUUCGCCUGUGACGAAGCGUGAGUGACGUAAUGGGAAAGAAGCACCGC